GUUGUGGUUGAGAACAAACCUGCCGCCGGCCGACAACAGACGCCCGUUGCCGUCGCCUUCAGUAAAUCCCUGCCAUCACAUCUUCUUGUUAAGCCGCUCUGACCGCGUGAUGAUCACAACGUUGACUGCGGAUGAAGUUCAUCCCGUCGCUGGAUUCCAGACUGCGGAUGAGGUUCUUCCGCAACUAUAUGACUAUCGUUAACAUGAAAACUCUUGUUUUGUGAACCUGGAAAGUUAUUUAGUCAAGACCAAACAUUGUUUUCGCACUUCAACGAAGUGUUCUACUCAACAAUUCUGGCUCUCAUUGCGCCGGCCGGAAGGAUAACAGCCGUAUAUUGUGGUAAUAUUCCAGGAGAAUGUAAUCGGGAAAUUACGAAUGUACCACUUGUUUGCUUGGAGUUGGUAUAUUUUUUCAUACUUUCAACGCUACUUUGUUAUUAAUACGAUUAAUUUCAUGCAACAGCAGUCAAAAAAUGGAAUAAUAUUAUUGAAAUAUGUGAUAAAAUAUUUUAAAUUUCUGUGCUGUAGUUUCGGUCGACAAAUGUUGUUUCAGUAUUUCUCAGCUGCCAUUUAUUUUCCAUUGAGUUUUCGCAUAUUUUGGAAAUUUGAAUAGUUUGUGAAGUUGUCAUCUUCUCUGCCUAGUAAUACCGUAUAUAUUCAAUAGAAUAUUAAGCUUGAAGGUUUUGGUUUUGUGAUAAUGUUAUUACUUCGUUUACUCAUGUAAAUUUAAGUUCAUUGUACAGUUUCUGAAUUUAAAGUGCGUCUGUUUUUGUAAUCACUAUGAAGCUAAAAAUAUCUAUCAGAAAUGAAUAUGUAUUUUAUGAAUUUUUUCUGCCAUAUGCAUUAUUUAUUUUAUUUCCUACUUUUACAAUUAAGGCUCUUUGUCGCGAUUGUGAUUUUGUAAUUUGUUAUUGUAUAUUUCCGUUAAUUACAAUACUGAAAUAAUUUUGUGUUUCUUACGUAUUUUCUGUGUGUCAGCGAUUUACAAAUAUAUUUAUGUGCAAUUUAUC